ACGGGGUGCAGCAGGCGCGAAACCUCUACAAUGCACGAAAGUGUGAUAGGGGGAUUCCACGUGCAAGCUUUGCUUGCUUUUCUCAAGUCUAAACCGCUUGGGGAAUAAGGGCUGGGCAAGACCCGUGCCAGCCGCCGCGGUAACACGGGCAGCUCAAGUGGCGUUCGCGUAUAUUGGGCCUAAAGCGUGCGUAGCCUGUCAGGUAAGUUCUUGGUGAAAGCUUGCGACUUAAUCGUGAGAAUUGCCAGGAAAACUGCCCGACUUGGGACCGGAAGAGGUCGGAGGUAUUUCUUGGGUAGGGGUAAAAUCCUGUAAUCCUUGAAGGACCAUCGGUGGCGAAGGCGUCCGACUGGGACGGGUCCGACGGUGAGGCACGAAAGCUAGGGGAGCGACCCGGAUUAGAUACCCGGUUAGUCCUAGCCGUAAAUGAUGUCUGUUUGGUAUUGCGUGGCUUACGAGGCCCCGCAGUGCCGUAGGGAAGCCGUUAAACAGACCGCCUGGGGAGUACGGCCGCAAGGCUGAAACUUAAAGGAAUUGGCGGGGGAGUACUACAAGGGGUGGAGGCUGCGGUUUAAUUGGAUACAACGCCGGACAACUCACCAGGGAAGACAGCACUAUGAUGGUCAGCCUGAAGGGCUUACUUGAGGCGCUGAGAGGUAGUGCAUGGCCACCGUCAGCUCGUGCAGUGAUGUGUCCUGUUAAGUCAGGCAACGAGCGAGACCCGUGCUUCCAGUUGCAAACUUCUUUCUACGGAAAGGGGUGCACUCUGGAGGGACCGCCGUG
rnacentral:rRNA from 1 species